rnacentral:rRNA from 1 species
GACGAACGCUGGCGGCGUGCCUAAUACAUGCAAGUUGAGCGCUGAAGGUUGGUACUUGUACCGACUGGAUGAGCAGCGAACGGGUGAGUAACGCGUGGGGAAUCUGCCUUUGAGCGGGGGACAACAUUUGGAAACGAAUGCUAAUACCGCAUAAAAACUUUAAACACAAGUUUUAAGUUUGAAAGAUGCAAUUGCAUCACUCAAAGAUGAUCCCGCGUUGUAUUAGCUAGUUGGUGAGGUAAAGGCUCACCAAGGCGAUGAUACAUAGCCGACCUGAGAGGGUGAUCGGCCACAUUGGGACUGAGACACGGCCCAAACUCCUACGGGAGGCAGCAGUAGGGAAUCUUCGGCAAUAGACGAAAGUCUGACCGAGCAACGCCGCGUGAGUGAAGAAGGUUUUCGGAUCGUAAAACUCUGUUGGCAGAGAAGAACGUUGGUGAGAGUGGAAAGCUCAUCAAGUGACGGUAACUACCCAGAAAGGGACGGCUAACUACGUG